rnacentral:rRNA from 1 species
UCAGCUUGUUGGUGAGGUAGUGGCUCACCAAGGCGACGACGGGUAGCCGGCCUGAGAGGGCGACCGGCCACACUGGGACUGAGACACGGCCCAGACUCCUACGGGAGGCAGCAGUGGGGAAUAUUGCACAAUGGGCGAAAGCCUGAUGCAGCGACGCCGCGUGAGGGAUGACGGCCUUCGGGUUGUAAACCUCUUUCAGCAGGGAAGAAGCGAAAGUGACGGUACCUGCAGAAGAAGCGCCGGCUAACUACGUGCCAGCAGCCGCGGUAAUACGUAGGGCGCAAGCGUUGUCCGGAAUUAUUGGGCGUAAAGAGCUCGUAGGCGGCUUGUCACGUCGGUUGUGAAAGCCCGGGGCUUAACCCCGGGUCUGCAGUCGAUACGGGCAGGCUAGAGUUCGGUAGGGGAGAUCGGAAUUCCUGGUGUAGCGGUGAAAUGCGCAGAUAUCAGGAGGAACACCGGUGGCGAAGGCGGAUCUCUGGGCCGAUACUGACGCUGAGGAGCGAAAGCGUGGGGAGCGAACAGGAUUAGAUACCC